rnacentral:rRNA from 1 species
GACGAACGCUGGCGGCGCGCUUAACACAUGCAAGUCGAACGGAAAGGCCUGCUUUCCCUUGUGGUUUGCGGGUACUCGGGUGGCGAACGGGUGAGUAACACGUGAGUGAUUUGCCCCCAACUUGGUUAUAGGCCUGGGAAAUUGGGCCGAAUUCCCGAUAGGACUGCAGGGUUGUGCCGUGGGGGGAAAACGUUUUUUCAGUGGUUGGGGGUGCGCUGGCGCCUUAUCAGCUUGUUGGGGGGGUAGUGUCCUCCCAAGGCGGCGACGGGUAGCCGGCCGGAGAGGGUGGACGGCCACAUUGGGACUGGGACACGGCCCAGACGCCUACGGGAGGCAGCAGUGGGGAAUAUUGGGCAAUGGGCGGAAGCCUGAUGCAGCGACGGCGUGUGGGGGAUGACGGCCUUGGGGUUGUAAACUCCUUUCGACCGCGAGGAAGCCACCUGGUUGGAAGGGUGGUGACGGUAGUGGUAGAAGAAGCACCGGCUAACUACGUG